CUCGAAGUUCCCCGACUACCGAAGCUCAAAGAAGCAGCCACUUUGCGCUUUGUUUGCCCAACUGAAUAAUCGAAAAACAAAUAAUUUGACUUGAACGAAGAGUACCCAUUUGAAUUUUUGCUCUGAAAAGCUGUGUUAAAGGCAAAACGACCCAAUUGGCCUGCAAAAUCAAAAACGGGACUGGACUCCUGGGUUACCGUGGA
rnacentral:misc_RNA from 1 species